GACGAACGCUGGCGGCGUGCUUAACACAUGCAAGUCGAACGGAAAGGCCCUGCUUUUGUGGGGUGCUCGAGUGGCGAACGGGUGAGUAACACGUGAGUAACCUGCCCUUGAUUUUGGGAUAACUUCAGGAAACUGGGGCUAAUACCGGAUAGGAGCUCCUGCUGCAUGGUGGGGGUUGGAAAGUUUCGGCGGUUGGGGAUGGACUCGCGGCUUAUCAGCUUGUUGGUGGGGUAGUGGCUUACCAAGGCUUUGACGGGUAGCCGGCCUGAGAGGGUGACCGGCCACAUUGGGACUGAGAUACGGCCCAGACUCCUACGGGAGGCAGCAGUGGGGAAUAUUGCACAAUGGGCGGAAGCCUGAUGCAGCAACGCCGCGUGCGGGAUGACGGCCUUCGGGUUGUAAACCGCUUUCGCCUGUGACGAAGCGUGAGUGACGGUAAUGGGGAAAGAAGCACCGGCUAACUACGU
rnacentral:rRNA from 1 species